AUCGCUGAGGGUCCAGUCUCCAGCUUGCCUCCUGCUAUAUCCAUAGGAAGAGAAAAGUUUGUGACUUGGGCCCCCAAGUUUUGAGAGAACUGGGCUUUCGGCGCGGGGGGACAGAGGAGGCUCGUGGGGAGCUUUCCCCAUGGAGCUUACCCAGCCUGCAGAAGACCUCAUCCUGACCCAGCAGACCCCUGCCUCAGAACUUGGGGACCCUGAAGACCCUGGAGAGGAGGCUGCAGAUGGCUCAGACACUGUGGUCCUCAGUCUCUUUCCCUGCACCCCUGAGCCUGUGAAUCCUGAACCGGAUGCCAGUGUUUCCUCUCCACAGGCAGGCAGCUCCCUGAAGCACUCCACCACUCUCACCAACCGGCAGCGAGGGAACGAGGUGUCAGCUCUGCCGGCCACCCUAGACUCCCUGUCCAUCCACCAGCUCGCAGCACAGGGGGAGCUGGACCAGCUGAAGGAGCAUUUGCGGAAAGGUGCGUGUCCACACACAUGUGCUGGCAUGUCUGCACCUGGCUGGUGUGUGCAUAUGGGUGUCCAUACCCACUCAUGACGUGACCUGUGAGUGUCCACGUGUGUGAUUGUAUCUAACUGUGUGUGUGACCGUGUCCAUGUAUGUCCAUCAACAUACGCUCCCCCUCAUUCCCCUGUCUAACCCCAGCCCCCCACCUCGUCCCCAUUUGGCAGCACUGGGGAUAGGGGGCAGGGGUGCAGCCUGGUGGUAUUGCCCGCCUCCUCCUGCCAGGUGACAACCUCGUCAACAAGCCAGACGAGCGCGGCUUCACCCCCCUCAUCUGGGCCUCGGCCUUUGGAGAGAUUGAGACCGUUCGCUUCCUGCUGGAGUGGGUGCGUCCCAGCCCAGCUGGGCAGCUGGGGGGUUCCCGGGGG
rnacentral:sRNA from 1 species